rnacentral:rRNA from 1 species
GACGAACGCUGGCGGCGCGCUUAACACAUGCAAGUCGAGCGAAGCGGCGGACGGGUGAGUAACACGUGAGUAACCUGCCUUAGACAUUGGGAUAGCCUCGGGAAACCGGGAUUAAUACAAAAUGGUCUAAGAUGGACUCGCGUCCCAUUAGCUAGUUGGUGAGGUAACGGCCCACCAAGGCGACGAUGGGUAGCCGGCCUGAGAGGGUGAACGGCCACAUUGGAACUGAGAAACGGUCCAAACUCUACGGGAGGCAGCAGUGGGGAAUAUUGCACAAUGGAGGGAACUCUGAUGCAGCGACGCCGCGUGAACGAAGAAGGCUUUCGAGUCGUAAAGUGCUUUUAUAUGGGAAGCGGUACCAUAAGAAAAAGCCCCGACUAACUACGUGCCAGCAGCCGCGGUAAUUC